GUGCCAGCAGCCGCGGUAAUACGUAGGUCCCGAGCGUUGUCCGGAUUUAUUGGGCGUAAAGCGAGCGCAGGCGGUUAGAUAAGUCUGAAGUUAAAGGCUGUGGCUUAACCAUAGUACGCUUUGGAAACUGUUUAACUUGAGUGCAAGAGGGGAGAGUGGAAUUCCAUGUGUAGCGGUGAAAUGCGUAGAUAUAUGGAGGAACACCGGUGGCGAAAGCGGCUCUCUGGCUUGUAACUGACGCUGAGGCUCGAAAGCGUGGGGAGCAAACAGGAUUAGAU
rnacentral:rRNA from 1 species